rnacentral:rRNA from 1 species
AUUGAACGCUAGCGGGAUGCCUUACACAUGCAAGUCGAACGGAGUGGCGAACGGGUGAGUAAUGUAUCGGAACGUGCACAGUCGCGGGGGAUAACUACGCGAAAGCGUAGCUAAUACCGCAUACUCUUGGAGCGGCAGAUAUCGGUUUAGCUAGUGGGUGGGGUAACGGCUCACCAAGGCGACGAUCCGUAGCUGGUUUGAGAGGACGACCAGCCACACUGGGACUGAGGCACGGUCCAGACUCCUACGGGCGGCAGCAGUGGGGAAUUUUGGACAAUGGAGGAAACCCUGAUCCAGCCAUCCCGCGUGUGAGAUGAAGGUCUUCGGGUUGUAAAGCACUGUUGUCAGGAAAGCGGUACCUGACGAAUAAGCACCGGCUAACUACGUGCCAGCCGCCGCGGUAAUUC